rnacentral:ncRNA from 2 species
AACGAUGCCUAGGGGAUCCCCGACAGGGGGCUGAGAGGCUGGCGACGCUCACAAGAAGCGGCCCGGCGACCCUUCGAACCUGAUCCAGCUCGCACUGGCGUAGGGAUGGUGAGAUUCAUGUUU